GAUGAACGCUGGCGGCGUGCCUAACACAUGCAAGUCGAGCGAGACGGCUUAGAAUGAUCCUUCGGGAGAAUGAUAAGCUAGACAGCGGCGGACGGGUGAGUAACGCGUGGAUAACCUGCCUUAUACUGGGGGAUAACGUUUUGAAAAGAACGCUAAUACCGCAUAAGCGCACAGGACCGCAUGGUCUGGUGUGAAAAACUCCGGUGGUAUAAGAUGGAUCCGCGUCAGAUUAGCUAGUUGGUGAGAUAAAAGCUCACCAAGGCAACGAUCUGUAGCCGACCUGAGAGGGUGAUCGGCCACAUUGGGACUGAGACACGGCCCAAACUCCUACGGGAGGCAGCAGUGGGGAAUAUUGCACAAUGGGGGAAACCCUGAUGCAGCGACGCCGCGUGAAGGAUGAAGGUUUUCGGAUCGUAAACUUCUAUCAGCAGGGAAGAUAGUGACUGUACCUGACUAAGAAGCCCCGGCUAACUACGUGCCAGCAGCCGCGGUAAUACGUAGGGGGCAAGCGUUAUCCGGAAUUACUGGGUGUAAAGGGUGCGUAGGCGGUUUAUUAAGUCAGAUGUGAAAGCCCGAGGCUCAACCUCGGGACUGCAUUUGAAACUGGUAAACUAGAAUACAGGAGAGGUAAGUGGAAUUCCUAGUGUAGCGGUGAAAUGCGUAGAUAUUAGGAGGAACACCAGUGGCGAAGGCGACUUACUGGACUGUUAUUGACGCUGAGGCACGAAAGCGUGGGGAGCAAACAGGAUUAGAUACCUGGCAGUCCACGCCGUAAACGAUGAAUACUAGGUGUCGGGAGUCGAAUCUC
rnacentral:rRNA from 1 species